rnacentral:tRNA from 1 species
AAAACACCAUCAGCAUCACCAACCAUGGAGAGAUACAGGGUGAACAGGCUUUUGUUCUAGCCCAGCACUAACAAACACUAAUUUAACUCAUUCAGGUCUUGAAGAGCAUGUAUUGACAAAUCUUAGUCACACACAUGCAUCCUACAUACUCUAGCCCCACCCAUCCUCCCCACUGGACAGUAUUUUUAGCUGAAACCUGAUCUCUUCAGCAACAGAGAAUGAAGGCAACACUGCAAAACCCCUGCCUUUAACUAGCUGCGUGGACACACACAAUAACCCAUUCUGACAUGCAGACAUACACACUGUGACGCAGACACGCAGCAGGACGUUACGUACACAUGGGGACACACCCGUCUACAGUCCAGUAAGGAAAAUAAAAGAAUGAGAAGUGUGAGCUGAGGGCUGAAGUUAUUCUCCACCAAUCUGGAACAGAGCUCCAUUACAGAGACACACUGCAGCAGACAUUUCGGAUCCAUAACCAGCUUCAAGACUUCUAAAGGAUGAAGAACCUUAGACUUCUCCUCCUCUCUCUCUCCAUCUGCCUGUUGCUGGGCAACCUGGGGGUGAGUGGCUACAGUAAUGUCGAACCCUGCCAACGGUCCCGAUGCAAUAACUGCCAUGAAAAGUUCCUAUACCGGCAUGUGCGUCCAAAUACCCCGUUAACGACGGACCGCAACGCGUGGGAGAAGUAUCUACGUGAACAAAAUAACUGCUCAAGACCCACGCAGUCCUUCCUCCAUCCCAAAGACCGGGAGAGGGUGGACGCGGUCUGCUCCAGCUCUGGGGGAAAGACGUACCAGGGGAACCUGUGCAUCAGCCAACGCCCGUUCACAUUUCUAACAGUGAGGAGCGAGACUGGGACCUGCGGCGUGUCCAGCGUGCGGGAAGAGACCAAGCAUUUGAUCCUGGCAUGUGAGGUGCUGGAGAACAGGUGUGUGCCGGUCCACUUCGAGGGGAACCGCGAGGGGAGCAAGCCCGACAAUAACGCUGCAGGAUGUGGCAGCACGGAGAAAGGGAAGGGCUCAAGCUUCAAAGUAUCAGGAAUGUGGCUGGCAUCUUUAUUGAUACUCAUGUUUCUCUCACAACUCCUUUUUCUGAACAGUUAAUGGGGGGGCAGAUAGUCAAACAAUAUAUCAAAAGGAAGUUUUUUUAAAGUGUCUGUCCUACACUCUAAAAAGAAAAGGUUCCUGGAGUAUCCUUUAGGGGUUCUUCAAAUUUAAAGUGUGGGUGAACCGCUAUGAGUUCUUCACAGAACCCCUUUUAAUGGAUCCUCAGAGUACCUUUUGAACAACCUUUUGGGGUUCCUUUUUGAACUACCCCUCUCCCCUAUUAUUAAUAAUAGUAAUACGCUUAACAAAAACAACAAUAACACAAUAUUUUAUUGUUCUCAGUGUUUAUUAUGAUUUUAGUGGCAAAACAGAAUAAAAAAAUCCAAAUAUGAGGUAAACUCCCAGCAGAGCCCCAUGUCCAGUGGAAGUCCAAUGGAAGUAUAUCCUCUGGCGUGUUGAUGUUAUUGUGUUGAUGUUCUCCGUAUCCAUAGCCAGAAUGAGGCGUAUUUCUGUCUGUAAUAAUGCCCUUUUGUGUGGGAAAACUCAUUCUGAUUGGCUGGGCCUGGCUCCCCAGUAGGUUGGCCUAUGCUCUCCCUGGCCCACCCAUGUUUGCGUCCCUGCCCAUUCAUGUGAAAUCCAUAGAUUAGGGCCUAAUUUAUUUAUUUCAAUUGACAGAUCUCAGCAAAAUCUUUGAAAUCGUUGCAUGUUGCGUUUAUAUUUUUGUUCAGUAUACUUCCAUAUAUACUUCCAUUCAUUGGUGUGUAGCCCAAACUGUUCUGAAGCUACAGACAGAAGUUGGCAGAUCGGUGGUACCGACUUGUGCGGGUCGUAAAAAACUGAGAACACCAUCAUGUUGGUCAUCUUUCCAUAGAGGGGUCAUAUUAGUUUGUUGGCCAAACCGUUCGGACGCUACAGACGUUUUUGUGAGAAGAACGAUUUUCGCCAUGUCUCAUGGUCUGACAAACAGUAGCUUGGUCACCUUCCACCGCAGAUGCGGAAGGACGCCAUUGGCGGAUGUGGUGAAUUGAGACGCAGCCCAUCCAAAAAGCUACAUAUCUCUAGCUCAAAGCUACAAUAUGUAACUUUUUGGGCAACCCGACCAAAUUCACAUAGAAAUAUGAGUUAUAGAUCUUUCAUGAAAGAAAGUCUAAGAAGCGGUAGAUCUGUUCUAUGUGUGCUAUUUGUGCGUCUUUUACUUUCAGAUUUGUACACAAGCAAUAUUUUUGGUUAUGUAAAAAUAUUUCACAGCAGUUUAGGUGGUACUAUGAUUCUCUACACAAUGACUGCUUGUUUUGUCAUUAAAGGAAAUUAGGUGAACUAUUACAAUUUUAUCAACCAGGAAAUGGAGGAGUGAUUCCUUAAUAGUACAUCUUUAAAACAGACGGAUUUUGAUGGGGAUUUUUGUAUUAUGCAAAUUAUUUUUCAGCGGGGGGGGGGCGGACAUCGACUCUAGGGGGUGUAGACUGCCAUGUAUUCAGGUCUGGCCCUGGGCUAUAAUGUUUCACUAACAACAUUUAAAAGACUGCCAUCUAUUCAGGUCUGACCCUGGGUCUGACCCUGGGCUAUGAUAGCGUGGGUACCUUGUACUCUGUGUCAUAUGCCAAAGAUGUUUAGCAUAAAAAGAGUGGCAAGGAGGGGAAUGAUAGCUAAACAGACUGGUACCCGUACCAGACUAGGGCUAUGACGUUUCACACACAACAGUUAAAAGACUGCCAUGUUUUGUUCUCUCACAACAUCUAUUCUGAACAGUUGAAAGACUGGGCAUUUGUUUUGUCAUAUGUAUGUUAUGGACGGUGUUGCCCGUUCCUGUGUGCCAGUCAGGGAUCUGUCUAUGGCUGUGGGCCCCAGCCUAAUGUUGGCGUCAGCAUUUCAUUACUUUGUACUUCAUUUGAAAAAGUGUAUUGUACCAUGCUGAAUAUAUGCACUAUCAAUAAAGGUUGAUUUUGGUAGAAUGUUGAAGAGCAGCAUCAUCAGCCAGCAUCAUCAGCCAGCACCAUAGGCCUUAACACAGAGGUUAAACCACAUGACCUCAUCUGAGAGGUCACACACAAGCAGCACAUUCCGAGUUGGCAGGCAAGUGCUUUACUAUGAGCACGUAAACAUGUAAUACACCCCCAUCAGCCUACAACAUGGAUUGGCUUUUGUAGGCCUGCAAAAAAAAGGAGAAAGAAAGAAGAUUUUUAGGAACUCAGUCGGGGUCUCAACUUACUGUUGAGUUACAAUAGUAGAAACACAAGGUGACAUUUAGAAAUCUGGUUGUGCAUCAGUAGUUUUUCUGUUGUUUUGUCAGUCACUGACAUUCACUCAGUUAACCAUGUCUGCUAACAUUGUUUAGAUUGGUAAGUUAGUCUAGCGUCCAGCUAUCUAAACAUGUAGUAAUCAUGGACCGGGGGGCCCUAUUGAUUAUGUUAGUCACUCUCACUUAGAUAUCAUAUUAAAAACUGCAAACAUUUCUCUUCACCCUAUUGCAAAAUGUGUAGAAUUGAAGGAAAUUUGCUGUAAAAUUGCAAAUGUUUCUCUCCGCCCCAUGGCAAAAUUAGUAGAAUGCAUUAAAUUUGUUAUAAAACUGCCAAAUCUUAUCUCCACCUUAUGGCAAAAUGUGUAGAAUUGCAGAAAAUUUACUCUAAAACUUCCAUCACAAGGAUAGGAGCACGUAAGGAUGCAUUGUGAAAGUAUCAGAGCAGUGCCAUGGUCAGGAAGAACUUCAAAAGUAUUGAGAUGGAAUGUGGGCAUUCUUCAGUGUUUCUAUAGGGUGGGCAGCAUGCACUUUUAGCCUAGUUCUGCUCAAUGGGCAAUUGAACAGGAAUAGAAUGUGAAAGAGGAAGUUCAUUUGUGGUUUAGACAAUUCUCAACUAUUGGGCUAUUCAGAACUCCACUGUGACCCCUUUCCUUGUUCUAUAGGCCACUCAGAUCGAGCUUCUCUAUCACACAUGCACUGUGUGAGGGACGUCUAGAAAUAGAGGGCCGUAUGUGGAGCUCACCUGGUGAAACUUGUUCUGCAUGCACACACAAACACAGACACACGCAGGGAUAAGCAACAUAAACUCACAUACACGGACGGUUCCAGGGAUAAGCAACAUAAACUCACAUACACGGACGGUUCCAGGGAUAAGCAACAUAAACUCACAUACACGGCUGGUUCCAGGGAUAAGCAACAUAAACUCACAUACACGGCUGGUUCCAGGGAUAAGCAACAUAAACUCACAUACACGGCUGGUUCCAGGGAUAAGCAACAUAAACUCACAUACACGGCUGGUUCCAGGGAUAAGCAACAUAAACUCACAUACACGGCCGGUUCCAGGGAUAAGCAGUCACUAAGGGCUUUUUCUGGAACUUUUUUUAUUUAAUUUCUUUUACCUUAAUUAUCUAGGCAGGUCAGUUAAGAACAAAUUCUUAUUUACAAUGAUGUCCUACCAAAAGGCAAAAGGCCUCCUGGGGGAAUGGGGGCUGGGAUUUAAAAAGAAAUCUGCAAAUAAAAUAUAGGACAAAACACACAUCACGACAAGAGAGACAACACAACACUACAUAAAGAGAGACCUAAGACGACAAAAUAGCAUGGACGCAACACAUGAAAACACAGCAUGGUAGCAACACAACAUGACAACAACAUGGUAGCAACACAACAUGGCAGCAGCACAACAUGGUAGCAACACAAAACAUGGUACAAACAUGAGUCCCUGAACUGAGUCAGGGUCUCAACUUAAUAUUGAGAGUAAGAAUAGUAGAAUUAAUCAGGUGCAAUCUCAACAUCUGGUUGUGCAUCAGCAGUUUUUCCUUAAUAUUUUUUAUCUGACGUCAGUCACUGACAGCAGGUUUCCAUCCAAUUGGUGACAGAUUUUCAUGCGAAUAUUCUAACAUCAGCAUAAAAACAAUCUGCACGUUUUCCCAUCAGAGAUGUGUUUCUAUCAAAUUGACUUGUUGCAGAUAAAACCCUGUGCGUGAUGAUGCGUGCACAGAAGCAUACAUUUUCCGUAUAAAUUCCCAUGUACCGAAUAUACAGUACCAGUCAAAAGUUUGGACACACCUACUCAUUUAAGAGUUUUACUUUAUUUUUUACUAUUUUCUACAUUGUAGAAUAAUAGUGAAGACAUCAAUUCCAUAUGAAAUAACAUAUAUGGAAUCAUGUAGUAACCAAAAAAGUGUUAAACAAAUCAAAAUAUAUUUUAGAUUUUAGAUUCUUCAAAAUAGCCACCCUUUGCCUUGAUGACAGCUUUGCACACUCUUGGCAUUCUCUCAAUCAGCUUCAUGAGGAAUGCUUUUCAAACAGUCUUGAAGGAGUUCCCACAUAUGCUGAGCACUUGUUGGCUACUUUUCCUUCACUCUGCGGUCCAACUCAUCCCAACCCAUCUCAAUUGGGUUGAGGUCGGGUGAUUUUGGAGGCCAGGUCAUCUGAUGCAGCACUCCAUCACUCUCCUUGGUCAAAUAGCCCUUACACAGCCUGGAGGUGUGUUUUGGGUCAUUGUCCUUUUGAAAAACAAAUGAUAGUCCCCCUAAGCCCAAACCAGAUGGGAUGACGUAUCGCUGCAGAAUGCUGUGGUAGUGUAAUGGAAAUUAUAUGAUUAAAGGUUUGACUAAAUUAUUUCACCCUGAAAAUGUAUAACCGAGUGAUUAUAAAUCAAAUCAAAUGUAUUUAUAUAGCCCUUCUUACAUCAGCUGAUAUCUCAAAGUGCUGUACAGAAACCCAGCCUAAAACCCCAAACAGCAAGCAAUGCAGGUGUAGAAGCACAUAAGGUUAAUGUACUAAUGUGUGUGCAUGGGACAAGCUGAGACUUUAAUAUGUAGCAAUGUAAGUGAAACGUUCAAGGAGAAGUGGAACUAUUAACAGACAGCAGACAACUUGUGACCGCGGAGGAACUGAUAACAGGAAGAGGAGGGGAGGGGAGAAACAUUGAGGCUACAGUAGAUUAGGUCCCAGGUGCAAGAUAUGAUAAACAAUGUAUGUGUUGUAGAAAAGUUUGUAAACUGCAUUGUCAGUGUUAGAGAAGAGGAGGGGCAUUUGUAUGACGAAAUGUGUAAUAUAAAAGGCAUUGUAUGGAUUUUAGAGCUCUCGUAAAUAAACAUCCUGAUUAUUGUAGAUCUCAGUCUGUUUCUUUCAACCGGAACCUUACACCUUCUGGUAUACAAACUGAGUAGUUAAAUUGAAGUUCGGUUUAAGAACAUUGCUAACUUAAUUCCCAUAACAGGAAGCCAUGCUGGUUAAGUGAGCCUUGAAUUCUAAAUAAAUCACUGACAUUGUUACCAGCAAAGCCCCCCCACACCAUCACACCUCCUCCUCCAUGCUUCACAGUGGGAACCACACAUGUGGAGAUCAUCCGUUCACCUACUCUGCGUUUCACAAAGACACGGUGGUUGGAACCAAAAAUCUCAAAUUUGGACCCAUCAGACCAAAGGACAGAUUCCCACCGGUCUAAAGUCCAUUGCUCGUGUUUCUUGGCCCAAGCAAGUCUCUUAUUAUUAUUGGUGUCCUUUAGCGCUGGUUUCUUUGCAGCAAUUCGACCACAAUGGCCUGAUUCACACAGUCUCCUCUGAACAGUUGAUGUUGAGAUGUGUCUGUUACUUGAACUCUGUGAAGCAUUUAUUUGGGCUGCAAUCUGAGGUGCAGUUAACUCUAAUGAAUGUAUCCUCUGCAGCAGAGGUAACUCUGGGUCUUCCUUUCCUGUGGCGGUCCUUAUGAGAGCUAGUUUCAUCAUAGUGCUUGAUGGUUUUUGCGACUGCACUUCAAGAAACUUUCAAAGUUCUUGAACUUUUCCUGAUUGACUCACCUUCAUGUCUUAAUAGGGACAGACGUUCCGCUAUUUAGCAGACGCUCUUAUCCAGAGCGACUUACAAAUUGGUGCAUUCACCUUAAAUUCAAAAAGGCUUUACAACGAAAGCAAAACAUUAGAUUAUGUCAGGAGAGUACCCUGCAAAAAAAAUUAUCACACACACAUUUUUCAAGCUAGCAUAUAUGUCACAAAAACCAAAACCACAGCUAAAUGCAGCACUAACCUUUGAUGAUCUUCAUCAGAUGACACUCCUAGGACAUUAUGUUAUACAAUACGUGCAUGUUUUGUUCAAUCAAGUUCAUAUUUAUAUAAAAAAACAGCUUUUUACAUUAGCAUGUUUUGUUCAGAACUAGCAUACCCACCGAAAACUUCCGGUGAAUUUACUAAAUUACUUACGAUAAACGUUCACAAAAAACAUAAUUAUUUUAAGAAUUAUAGAUACAGAACUCCUUUAUGCAAUCGCGGUGUCCGAUUUUAAAAUAGCUUUUCGGUGAAAGCACAUUUUGCAAUAUUCUGAGUAGAUUGCCCGGCCAUCAUGGCUAGCUAUUUUGACACCCACCAAGUUUGGCACUCACCAAACUCAGAUUUACUAUAAGAAAAAUUGGAUUACCGUUGCUGUUCUUCGUCAGAAUGCACUCCCAGGACUUCUUCUUCAACACCCAAUGUUGUUUUGGUUCCAAAUAAUCCAUAGUUAUAUCGAAAUACCGCCGUUUUGUUCGUGCGUUCAAGACACGAUCCGAAGGGUGAUGCGCCGGCGCGUUUCGUGACAAAAAAUGUCAAAAUAUUCCAUUACCGUACUUCGAAGUAUGUCAAACGCUGUUUAAAAUCAAUUUUUAUGCGAUUUUUCUUGUAAAAUAGCGAUAAUAUUCCAACUGGGAGAUGUUGUAUCUGUUCAAACACUGAAAUAAGAAAAUGGAGUCGUCACAUGCAUGCGCAAGCCAGUGUCAUUGUUCUCAGAAGUACCACUCUCCAAAACCCCUACUGUUUUUCGCCCAGAGACUGCAGAGUUAUCAUUCAAUGUUCUGGCGCCUUCUGAGAGCCAAUGAAAACCUUAGAAAAUGUCACGUUACAGCAGAGCAGUAUUUUCGAUAAAGAGGCUACAGAAGGCCAAGAAAUGGUCAGACAGGGCACUUCCCAUAUAGAAUCUUCUCAGGUUUUGGCCUGCCAUAUGAGUUCUGUUAUACUCACAGACACCAUUCAAACAUUUUUAGAACAUUUUGGGUGUUUUCUAUCCAAAUCUACUAAUUAUAUGCAUAUUAUAGUUUCUGGGCAGGAGUAAUAACCAGAUUAAAUCGGGUACGUUUUUUAUCUGGCCGUGAAAAUACUGCCCCCUAUCCCAAACAGGUUAAAGUAAUGAUGGACUGUCAUUUCGCUUUCCUUAUUUGAGCUGUUCUUGCCAUAAAAUGGGAUGACAGGUAUCCUAGUUGUUAGAGCGUUGGGGCCAGUAACCGAAAGGUUGCUGGAUUGAAUCCCGGAGCUGACAAGGUAAAAAGAUCUGUCGUUCUGCCCCUGAAUAAGGCAGAUAACCCACUGUUCCCUGGUAGGAUGUCAUUGUAAAUAAGAAUUUGUUCUUAACUGACUUGCCUAGUUAAAUAAUGUUUUUUUUUUUUUUUUAAUGGACUUGGUAUUUUACCAAAUAGGGCUAUCUUCUGUAUACCACCCCUCACAGCAAAACUGAUUGGCUCAAAUGCAUUAUGAAUGAAAGAAAUUACACAAAUGAACUUUUAAGAAUGCACACCUGUUAAUUGAAAUGCAUUCCAUUCCAACCUCAUGAAGCUGGUUGAGAGAAUGCCAAGAGUGUGCAACGCUGUCAUCAAGGAAAGGGUGGCUAUUUGAGUAAUCUCAAAUAUAAAAUAUAUUUCGAUUUGUUUAACACUUUUUUGGUUACUACAUGAUUCCAUGUGUGUUAUUUCGUAGUGUUGACGGUCCCGUGUGGCUCAGUUGGUAGAGCAUGGUGUUUGCAACGCCAGGGUUGUGGGUUCGAUUCCCACGGGGGACCAGUACGGGAAAAAAAUAAUAAUAAUGUAUGAAAUGUAUGCAUUCACUACUGUAAGUUGCUCUGGAUAAGAGCGUCUGCUAAAUGACUAAAAUGUAAAAAAUGUUCA